GACGAACGCUGGCGGCGUGCUUAACACAUGCAAGUCGAACGGUGAAGCGCCUUCCUUUUUUGUGGGUGUGGAUGAGUGGCGAACUGGUGAGUAACACGUGAGUAACCUUCCCCCUUCUUCUGGAUAACCGCAUGAAAGUGUGGCUAAUACGGGAUAUUCUGGGUCUGUCGCAUGAUGGGUCUGGGAAAGAUAUUGUUUCGGUGGGGGAUGGGCUCGCGGCCUAUCAGCUUGUUGGUGGGGUGAUGGCCUACCAAGGCGGUGACGGGUAGCCGGCCUGAGAGGGUGGACGGUCACACUGGGACUGAGACACGGCGCAGACUCCUACGGGGGGCAGCAGUGGGGAAUAUGGAACAAUGGGCGCAAGCCUGAUGCAGCGACGCCGCGUGAGGGAUGGAGGCCUUCGGGUUGUGAACCUCUUUCGCCAGUGAAGCAGGCCUGCCUCGUUUGUGGGUGGGUUGACGGUAGCUGGAUAAGAAGCGCCGGCUAACUACGUG
rnacentral:rRNA from 1 species